GGUUAAGCGACUAAGCGUACACGGUGGAUGCCCUGGCAGUCAGAGGCGAUGAAGGACGUGCUAAUCUGCGAUAAGCGUCGGUAAGGUGAUAUGAACCGUUAUAACCGGCGAUUUCCGAAUGGGGAAACCCAGUGUGAUUCGUCACACUAUCAUUAACUGAAUCCAUAGGUUAAUGAGGCGAACCGGGGAACUGAAACAUCUAAGUACCCCGAGGAAAAGAAAUCAACCGAGAUUCCCCAGUAGCGGCGAGCGAACGGGGAGCAGCCCAGAGCCUGAAUCAGUGUGUGUGUUAGUGGAAGCGUCUGGAAAGGCGCGCGAUACAGGGUGACAGCCCCGUACACAAAAAUGCACAUGCUGUGAGCUCGAUGAGUAGGGCGGGACACGUGGUAUCCUGUCUGAAUAUGGGGGACCAUCCUCCAAGGCUAAAUACUCCUGACUGACCGAUAGUGAACCAGUACCGUGAGGGAAAGGCGAAAAGAACCCCGGCGAGGGAGUGAAAAAGAACCUGAAACCGUGUACGUACAAGCAGUGGGAGCACGCUUAGGCGUGUGACUGCGUACCUUUUGUAUAAUGGGUCAGCGACUUAUAUUCUGUAGCAAGGUUAACCGAAUAGGGGAGCCGAAGUGUGACUGCGUACCUUUUGUAUAAUGGGUCAGCGACUUAUAUUCUGUAGCAAGGUUAACCGAAUAGGGGAGCCGAAGGGAAACCGAGUCUUAACUGGGCGUUAAGUUGCAGGGUAUAGACCCGAAACCCGGUGAUCUAGCCAUGGGCAGGUUGAAGGUUGGGUAACACUAACUGGAGGACCGAACCGACUAAUGUUGAAAAAUUAGCGGAUGACUUGUGGCUGGGGGUGAAAGGCCAAUCAAACCGGGAGAUAGCUGGUUCUCCCCGAAAGCUAUUUAGGUAGCGCCUCGUGAAUUCAUCUCCGGGGGUAGAGCACUGUUUCGGCAAGGGGGUCAUCCCGACUUACCAACCCGAUGCAAACUGCGAAUACCGGAGAAUGUUAUCACGGGAGACACACGGCGGGUGCUAACGUCCGUCGUGAAGAGGGAAACAACCCAGACCGCCAGCUAAGGUCCCAAAGUCAUGGUUAAGUGGGAAACGAUGUGGGAAGGCCCAGACAGCCAGGAUGUUGGCUUAGAAGCAGCCAUCAUUUAAAGAAAGCGUAAUAGCUCACUGGUCGAGUCGGCCUGCGCGGAAGAUGUAACGGGGCUAAACCAUGCACCGAAGCUGCGGCAGCGACGCUGAUGCGUUGUUGGGUAGGGGAGCGUUCUGUAAGCCUGCGAAGGUGUGCUGUGAGGCAUGCUGGAGGUAUCAGAAGUGCGAAUGCUGACAUAAGUAACGAUAAAGCGGGUGAAAAGCCCGCUCGCCGGAAGACCAAGGGUUCCUGUCCAACGUUAAUCGGGGCAGGGUGAGUCGACCCCUAAGGCGAGGCCGAAAGGCGUAGUCGAUGGGAAACAGGUUAAUAUUCCUGUACUUGGUGUUACUGCGAAGGGGGGACGGAGAAGGCUAUGUUGGCCGGGCGACGGUUGUCCCGGUUUAAGCGUGUAGGCUGGUUUUCCAGGCAAAUCCGGAAAAUCAAGGCUGAGGCGUGAUGACGAGGCACUACGGUGCUGAAGCAACAAAUGCCCUGCUUCCAGGAAAAGCCUCUAAGCAUCAGGUAACAUCAAAUCGUACCCCAAACCGACACAGGUGGUCAGGUAGAGAAUACCAAGGCGCUUGAGAGAACUCGGGUGAAGGAACUAGGCAAAAUGGUGCCGUAACUUCGGGAGAAGGCACGCUGAUAUGUAGGUGAAGUCCCUCGCGGAUGGAGCUGAAAUCAGUCGAAGAUACCAGCUGGCUGCAACUGUUUAUUAAAAACACAGCACUGUGCAAACACGAAAGUGGACGUAUACGGUGUGACGCCUGCCCGGUGCCGGAAGGUUAAUUGAUGGGGUUAGCGCAAGCGAAGCUCUUGAUCGAAGCCCCGGUAAACGGCGGCCGUAACUAUAACGGUCCUAAGGUAGCGAAAUUCCUUGUCGGGUAAGUUCCGACCUGCACGAAUGGCGUAAUGAUGGCCAGGCUGUCUCCACCCGAGACUCAGUGAAAUUGAACUCGCUGUGAAGAUGCAGUGUACCCGCGGCAAGACGGAAAGACCCCGUGAACCUUUACUAUAGCUUGACACUGAACAUUGAGCCUUGAUGUGUAGGAUAGGUGGGAGGCUUUGAAGUGUGGACGCCAGUCUGCAUGGAGCCGACCUUGAAAUACCACCCUUUAAUGUUUGAUGUUCUAACGUUGACCCGUAAUCCGGGUUGCGGACAGUGUCUGGUGGGUAGUUUGACUGGGGCGGUCUCCUCCUAAAGAGUAACGGAGGAGCACGAAGGUUGGCUAAUCCUGGUCGGACAUCAGGAGGUUAGUGCAAUGGCAUAAGCCAGCUUGACUGCGAGCGUGACGGCGCGAGCAGGUGCGAAAGCAGGUCAUAGUGAUCCGGUGGUUCUGAAUGGAAGGGCCAUCGCUCAACGGAUAAAAGGUACUCCGGGGAUAACAGGCUGAUACCGCCCAAGAGUUCAUAUCGACGGCGGUGUUUGGCACCUCGAUGUCGGCUCAUCACAUCCUGGGGCUGAAGUAGGUCCCAAGGGUAUGGCUGUUCGCCAUUUAAAGUGGUACGCGAGCUGGGUUUAGAACGUCGUGAGACAGUUCGGUCCCUAUCUGCCGUGGGCGCUGGAGAAAUUGAGGGGCUGCUCCUAGUACGAGAGGACCGGAGUGGACGCAUCACUGGUGUUCGGGUUGUCAUGCCAAUGGCACUUGAGGGGGGCUGCUCCUAGUACGAGAGGACCGGAGUGGACGCAUCACUGGUGUUCGGGUUGUCAUGCCAAUGGCACUGCCCGGUAGCUAAAUGCGGAAGAGAUAAGUGCUGAAAGCAUCUAAGCACGAAACUUGCCCCGAGAUGAGUUCUCCCUGACUCCUUGAGAGUCCUGAAGGAACGUUGAAGACGACGACGUUGAUAGGCCGGGUGUGUAAGCGCAGCGAUGCGUUGAGCUAACCGGUACUAAUGAACCGUGAGGCUUAACCUU
rnacentral:rRNA from 1 species